UGGAUUCACAACCACUGGCAUAGGAGCCCUCCAUGUGGCAGGUGUUACUUGGAGACCCUCUGACUGCUCAAGCGAACCUCCCCAUGGCAUGGAAUCUUGUGGGAGCUCUGCCACCAGGAAACUCCAAAUGUUCUUCAGCUACUGUUCCAAAGCUUUUGCCCUUGAGGAACACAGUGAGGCAGAACCAACACAAUGAGGACUUACUGCUCACCUGAAUAUAUUCUGGGAGGACUGGAAGGACCUACCAGGUCAGAAAGCCUUGAGGAAACAUGGAGUUUCUGAAUCCUCUACCAUGUUCGCAAGUGAAGGAGAAACAUUUUCAUUCAGAUACCGAUUGAACAACACCUACCUAUGUACCUCCUAGUUCAUCUCUCUGCCUUUAGCCUUGGCCCCAGUGAUCCAGGCUCUACACUGCUAGUGCAAGAAUCUCAUGAAGACAGCAAAUCUGAUGAUGCCCAGACUCUGAGGAAAAUCUUUCAGUGCCAUCUGCAUGAGUUUACUAUUGCUGCUUUAACAAAUUACCACAAAUUUGGUGGCAUAAAACAAUUCAAAUUUUUUAUCUUACACUUCUAUAGGUUAAAAGUUUGACAUGGAUCUUACUGGGCUAGAAUCAAAAUGUUAGCAGGGCUGCGUUCCUUUUAUGGAGUCUCUAGAGAAGAAUCCAUCUCCUAGCGCCUUGCCCAGCUUCUACAUGAUGUCUGUAUUCUUUGAGUCAUAGCCUCUUCCUUCCCUUUAGCAAAAGCAGGUUGAGUUCUCACUCUGCCUCAUUCUGACUUCUACAUAGAAGGUUUUUUCUUUACUCGUUUUGUUCAUAGCUAUAUCCCCAGCACCUAGUAGAAAGUUUUUACUACAUGUUUGUUGAAUAAAUGAAAAAAAAUCAAAAACUUAAAAACAAUGUACUAAGUGUACUUAAUAAAUGCAGUUGUUCCACAUUCCCAUCAGACCUGCAGUGUGAAGACAAAAUUAGUACAUCCCUUGGCUGGUUCACACAUUUUUCAAGCCUCGGUAAAUGAAGAAGAA
rnacentral:lncRNA from 1 species